AACGAACGCUGGCGGCAUGCCUAACACAUGCAAGUCGAACGAGAUCUUCGGGUCUAGUGGCGCACGGGUGCGUAACGCGUGGGAAUCUGCCCUUUGGUUCGGAAUAACAGUUGGAAACGACUGCUAAUACCGGAUGAUGACGAAAGUCCAAAGAUUUAUCGCCAGAGGAUGAGCCCGCGUAGGAUUAGCUAGUUGUUUUGGUAAAGGCGCACCAAGAAGACGAUCCUUAGCUGGUCUGAGAGGAUGAUCAGCCACACUGGGACUGAGACACGGCCCAGACUGCUACGGGAGGCAGCAGUGGGGAAUAUUGGACAACGGGCGAAAGCCUGAUCCAGCAAUGCCGCGUGAUUGAUGAAGGCCUUAGGGUUGUAAAGCUCUUUUACCCGGGAUGAUAAUGACAGUACCGGGAGAAUAAGUUCCGGCUAACUCCGUGCCAGCCGCCGCAGUAA
rnacentral:rRNA from 1 species